ACACCGAUGGUGAAGUGGUUAUCAUGCUUGCCUUCCAUUCAUCCAAGUCGGUAGCAAGCGGCAGGGGUUCGAUUCCCCUUCGGUGUA